GCGGGAAUGCGCGUGGGAGCGGCGUGCGCGGGAGCGGGAUGCGCCGGGAGCGGGAUGCGCCGGGAGCGGGAUGCGGCGGGAGCGGGACGCGCGGGCGGUCACAGGCACAGCCCUGGCAACACCGAGCCCUCCCGCAGGGAUCGCCGCCGAAGGGCUAGGCGGUGGCCUUCCGUGGACCACCAGGUUCCCGCACCCCAAAGCCCGCCCCACCCGGCAGAGACCCCGGCGCGGGGACACCUCCUGCCACCGCCCAGGCACAGCACUCGGGGGCAGCACCAAACCAUCCCCGGCCGCCCCCGUGGCCUCGAUUCGCCAAAGCCUCCCAGCAUGUGCUUCAAGAGGACGUGAUAAAUCCUGCUCAGUAAUUGCCGGGCAAACUUCCCUGGUUUAUUUGUUUUUGUGUUGUGGUUUGUUUGGGUUUUUAUUAUUAUUAUUAUUUUUAAUGACUUCUGAGAUGGGACUGGAGGCACAGCACGACUUAACAUUCAUUUCAGGUGAAUGUGAGUGAGAAAAAGCAGCAGAGAAGCUCCUUCUGCCUCAAUCCUCUUCAGGGAAGAACAAAACAACAAUUUUAACAUUUGAAUUUGGGAUCUUCUGCAGUAUGGAAAUUUCUGUGUGUAAGUAUAUUGGUGUAUCUUCUGUUUACAUUUUACAGUUCUGUCCCCCCGCAAUGAUGAAAGAAUAUGUUAUAUAACCCACCUAAAUUUUGUUUUCAUCAUAACUGUCAGAGACAAUAAUGAAAAAUAAUGUCCUGACAAUCAUUACUAAAUAGUGGGAAGAGUAUUUUGGAGGCACAUCUUUUUUCCUUAGAUAAAGUACUAUUAUGAAAGACACAAGCACUGUAAUUUUGAGUUAGACUUUAUCACAAUUGUACUGUCUGGACUUGGCUGACCUAAUGAAAUGUUGCUGUGACAUAUUCCUGUGCACUUUUGAAUGCAUUUAAUUAGAGCUCAGCAGUGCCACUUAUACAGCUUGGGGAGCCUAACUAACUCUGGCUUUAAAAUCCUUACAUGGAAAAAAACACAUUUACAUAAAAGGCUGUGAUCAGGUUUAUUGUGAAAGAAAUGCCUCUUUAAAUCAUUAAAUGUGGACAGAACCUGCACACGACCCGACAGUGAAUGAAGUUACUUAUCUCUGAUUAUAUGCCAGAUAUAGAUUGCUGCAAUCAGUAAAAGUUAAGGUAAAAGUCUGAAAUGCUUCAUUUUGCAAACAUAAUUUAAAAACUUAAGUCAUUUUACUGGGGUUUAUAAGCAGAGAGUGUUUCUUAUAGAGUAGUUAAUUUUGUCAUACAUAUUACAGAAUUUUGUCAUAUGUAUUACAGUCCUACCAUUAAAGUAGGACUUAGAUUGUACUCACUUUUUAAAUGGUCAAAUAAUUGGUUUCUGGUUUUAUGCUGUUUACCUUACCAAAAUCUCUAAGUCACAUCUUCUGUGAAAGUUUAACAAGAAUCAAAUUCAAUACUGGAUUCAAGUUAUUAAGUAAACAUGGGAGUUUAUACAAGGAUACCAUUGUAGUCAUCAACACACUAACUAUAAUUCUUCCUUAAAAUUCAGAUGUAAAUUCAAUGAAAAUCAGGGCCCUCUUUGUGAUGGCACAGUGGGCAGUUUCAGGCAGGAGGCCAUGCAAUUGCUAGACAGAGGACUGAGUCUUCCCAUUCCCUUACUGCUCCUUGGAAAGAUGCUGUGGAGCUUCACAAGUGUCCUCUACAGUCCUGAACACCGCAUUUUGGGACCAACUUCAUUAGUUGUGAGCCUUGACCUUUAACACUUAGUCCUCUGUCUAAUAAGCAGCAAUGUCUGAAUGCAGGCAACAUUUUGUAUAAUGGGAAUAUUUAACUGAUUCAUAAUCCAAUUUUACUUGGAAUUUAUCUUUUUUAUUUUUGAGGACUACUUAGCGCAUAGAUUUCUGACACUUAAAAAAUCAGUUGGAAUUGUGUUAAAACACAGUUUUUUUAGUUGCAGGUUCUACUUACAGAAAACUGUGGUACUGUUGUAAAAGGAUCGAAAAAAGGAUUAGAUGUAUCAGCAGGGAAUGUCUUUAUCUUUAAAAAAGAUAAAGAAAAAGAUGUUACUUUCAGAGCAUAAAAAUGCAAAAGAAAAGAAAAAAAGCAGCAAAGCAUUGCAACUACAGUGACAUAUCCAACAAAUCAGAGCAGUUCAGCAGUGCUUGGACUAGACCAAAAAAGACCCUUCCAAAAAUGCAUACAGAAACCUGAUGAUGAAUAAUCAAAGCAUAAAUACAAAAACUUGAUAAAUUAAUUUUACCACGUAAUUAAAUCUGUUGUGCAAAUACGGAGCUGAUUGCAUACAAUAUAUCUUCUAAUUCUGUCAACAGCCAUUGGAUUAUUAUCUGCUUCCUUCAGCCAGCAUUAUGUUUUAAAAUAUGCAAUAUGAAGUGCAGGAGCAAAAUCUGCAGUAGAUGGCUAAAGAACUUGUGCUUUACAUAUUUUAGACUUCCAAAUUUUCACUUACACUGCUGUUGCCAAACACAAACUAUCACACAAGGUGGGAUUGAAAGAAAAUCAUAUAUAAAAAAAUCACUGGGGACAGCUGUUUGUUUCAGGAAGCUACAAGGCCCUGUGUUAAAAGGAGGAGGGCUGUGGAUAAAGGAUGACCUUUGGAGGUGUUUUUGAAAAGUGCAUGGAGAAACAGAGGCAAGAGACCAAGACAUCCAUUUGCCGAGAAGUGUGAGAGCUCCCAGGGCUUUGUCCAUGAGGAUAUAGUGUGUGGUGUGACCAGACCCUGCUGGAAGUCACUUCUGCCCUUAAAGUAGUUUCAAACAUCAGCUGAAAUUAAAAAGGUAUUAAAAGCAGCAACAAUCUCUGUCCCAUUUCACUGUGAAUGCUGUUUCUCAUGAUUUUCCUCUUUAGAACGCAGACAUUAUCCAUUCAUUCAAAGGGAGGACAAACUAGCAAAUAAAGGCAACAGUUUUGAACUGCACUUCACUCUUUCCCUUUGGAAAACCACAUUUUUCACUGUAAAGAUGUAUUUUUCACUUUAUUUUAGAAACUGCUGUGCAUUGGUUUUACUGCAUUUCUUCAACCAUAAUUUAUUAACUACAGCCAUACAACUGUUGUUUAAUAAUGAGGAAAGCUACCCUGAGGGCCCUGAGCCCCUGUAGGCCAAAAGAAAACCUGAAAUUAUGACAUCAAGUAUAAUUAAGUAAAUGUAUAGUGUUUAUUUUGUAAGUAAAAUAACAGAGAUGUUGGCUUAUAUGGGUACCAAGGGAAAUUAACAACCAUCUGUGGGCCCACUUCUGCAAACGUGGAAUUAAGCUUAGCAUUAAUUGUCAGGCUUCUUACACACAAGGAGUAUGGAUAGCAAAGAUACAGUUGAGCCAGUAAAUAACCUUUUAACAGAAUAAAGGUAUUUGUAAGUCAUUGACACAGGCGCAAAUGAACAAACAACUAUGUGAGAGAGAAAUUAUUUUAAAUCACAGUUUUCUACGCAAACAUAUUAAAGAAAACUUCACAGUCCUUUUAUAGUCCUAUAUUCAUGCCUGUUAGCAAAGUGUAUGCAUGUGUACUGUAUUGCUGAUUGAACCUACUUGUUGUAUUGAUGCAAUAGCUCCUCACAAGUUUGUUAUGUUAUGUUACACCCAGAGCAAAAUCUGUCAACAGCUGUAGCAUGUCUCUCUCCUUUGAGAGACAGUAAAUACCCAUGAGCUCAGGCUGACAUUCUCAGGUUAUUAAGGGUUUACAAUAUGAUGUUACAGUACUAAGUACAAGUGUACUCACUCAGUUACAAAUAAAAUCUUUGAGCCAAAGGCAAACAGGGAUGGGAAACUGGUUGCUCAUGUGCACUAUGAGUUUGAUAUUCUACAGCUGAAAUUAUUAUUUCGCUGGCUAGUCUCACUAAGGAGAUGAAGCACAGUUACUAAAUGCAGGAAAGAAAAAUUAUGCAGAAUAAUACUCAAGAGUCCACAGAGAUUUGGGACUAGAGGCGCAUAACAGGAGUCAGACAUGAUUGCGUGCUGUGACACACAGCCAUGCAGAAUACUCUCUGUAAAAUCAGCACUGCAAUCUGUGGAUAUGCACGAGGCCAGCCUACGUAUCAAAACUUGAAAAGAAACUGUUAAUCUGGUUUAGUUUUUUCAGUGUGAGUCCCUCUCUCAGGGAGCCGUGCUCAUUUAAUCUUUGGAAUAAAAUGAUUUUGACAAAUGAAAAGCUCGCUGUGUUCUAAACCCAUCAAUUUCCAGCCUUUUAGAGAAACUGAAAACAGAUAUUUGGGAACAGAGGGGGAAUAAACUCGUUCAAUUUAAGAGUGACAAACAGAAAACAUCCUGCUCAGCCUUUAGAAUUUAUUCUUUCUUCCUCUCAUCCCUUUUUCCCCUCCGACAACAGACCACUGUGACUCAAAUGGCACAAGAGAGUUUAGUGGUUUGGCCCAGGCCUUAGUAUGAUUGUUGCUGCCAGCUUCCAUAGGCAAGGCAGAGAGACAACACUGUUGUUGCCUCCUCAACAUUGGCAAGAGGUUCUUAACUAUUGAUGG